UUCACACGUCAUACAAUGGUGCAUACAGAGGGUUGCCAAGCCGCGAGGUGGAGCUAAUCCCAGAAAAUGCAUCGUAGUCCGGAUCGUAGUCUGCAACUCGACUACGUGAAGCUGGAAUCGCUAGUAAUCGCGGAUCAGCAUGCCGCGGUGAAUACGUUCCCGGGUCUUGUACACACCGCCCGUCACACCAUGGGAGUGGGUUUUGCCAGAAGUAGUUAGCCUAACCGCAAGGGGGGCGAUUACCACGGCAGGGUUCAUGACUGGGGUGAAGUCGUAACAAGGUAACC
rnacentral:rRNA from 1 species